rnacentral:rRNA from 1 species
UACAGAGGUGCCAAGCGUUAGGCGGAAUCACUGGGCUUAAAGCGCGUGUAGGCGGGUCGUUAAGUGUCCGAGUGAAAUCCCACGGCUCAACCGUGGAACUGCCGGGCAUACUGGCGAUCUUGAGGCAUUCAGGGGCGAGCGGAACAAAUGGUGGAGCGGUGAAAUGCGUAGAUAUCGGUAGGAGCACCAGUGGCGAAGGCGGUCUCCUGGGGCAUUCUUGACGCUGAGGCGCGAAAGCUGGGGAAGCAAACGGG